UACACUGUUUCCAUGUAACAGCCCUAUUCUAAUAAAACCUCACAACUGAGUUGUGAGUAAAACUUUGUGAGAUUUCUUGUGAGGUCUAUUUUGUGAGGUUAUUCUAGCCCACACCUCACAAGAAAAAAGCUCAACAAAAUCACCACACCAGGUGAAAAGCAUUUUGCUGUCUAACAGCGGUUUCGUAAAUAAAAUAAAUACAAAAGAUGGAUGCUGAACAACAGGGAAAGCGAAUUUAAAAAGAAAUAACAAAGCAGGAGUAGCUCCAGUACUUCACACAGUUUGCAAUCCACAACUUGGAGCAAAAGUUUGUAUGGAAAUGAAAUCCUAUGCCUGCUCUAACUCUUCCGAAACUGCCGCAAAAACAAGCAGUAACUCCGCCAUUACUGAAUAUACUUUUAGUUAAAAAAAAAACUUAACACAGACACUGAUAGCGAACGAAAAUUAACAAAACAUUAUUCAAUUGCUCAAUAA